rnacentral:rRNA from 1 species
GACGAACGCUGGCGGCGUGCCUAAUACAUGCAAGUAGAACGCUGAAGGAGGAGCUUGCUUCUCUGGAUGAGUUGCGAACGGGUGAGUAACGCGUAGGUAACCUGCCUGGUAGCGGGGGAUAACUAUUGGAAACGAUAGCUAAUACCGCAUAAUAUUGACUAUUGCAUGAUAGUCAGUUGAAAGGUGCAACUGCACCACUACCAGAUGGACCUGCGUUGUAUUAGCUAGUUGGUGGGGUAACGGCUCACCAAGGCGACGAUACAUAGCCGACCUGAGAGGGUGAUCGGCCACACUGGGACUGAGACACGGCCCAGACUCCUACGGGAGGCAGCAGUAGGGAAUCUUCGGCAAUGGACGGAAGUCUGACCGAGCAACGCCGCGUGAGUGAAGAAGGUUUUCGGAUCGUAAAGCUCUGUUGUAAGAGAAGAACGAGUGUGAGAAGUGGAAAGUUC